CAACAAACCUGUCAUUGGCAAGUACCUGAACUACAUUUCAGUCACUCAGUAAAGUGAUAACUCAAAAUAUCAUUGUCAACAGAUCUGAAGAAAUUGCCACUGCGUCUUUAGACCGUUUUCGUCAGACGAGAGACACAGUUCUGACUCUGAUUACUGGUUGCUGUACGUAUCUAUCCACAUCAAGGCUGUUGAGAGAGACUCGUGAAGAUUCAAGACAGCUCUUAGAGGAUUUGCAGUUUAAAAGUGAAAUAAUUGUGAAAUAAGUGUGUGAAUGAUUAAACUGUGUUUUAUUGAAGUUGUUGUGCGAUUUUAAAGGAAUAAUAAAUGUCAAAUAC